rnacentral:piRNA from 1 species
UUUAGUAGUAAAUUAAGAAUAGAGAGCU